CGACUAAUAGUAAGAAGGUGUUAUGAAAUUUAAGUAUUGAGUCUUCAUUUCAGCCCCCAAGUGAAACAAAUGUUAUGCUUGCCUUCAUUUAUCCCUGUUGUCUGAUUUCAGGUUAGGCCAAGAAAUAAUUUUCCAAGGAUCGAAAUCCAUGGUGUCAGCUAUUCCUCUUUCAGAGAAUUUUGAAACUCAGCCUUGCAGAAGAUGAACUCCUUCCUUCAAAAAUUCCUCAGGUUGCUGUUGCUGACUACAUUAUUAGAAGUGGUCAUUAAAAUAAGCGUCUUAGGAGGAAAGGAUUCCACACUCUUUCUCAUGAGAGAAGUAUUAUUAUUACCUUCUGCACUCCUUUCAUGCCAGAAUGCUUGAGGAACCACAUCUAGGGCUGAGACUGUGCUCUUGCUUUUUUGAUGGUGAGUAAUUCAUGAAGGACAUUUCCUAAUCCAGACAUGUCAAACCAUGGGACUAAGUUUUCACCAC
rnacentral:lncRNA from 1 species